AAGGUUAGCUUGCUAAUCUUUGCCGGCGACCGGCGCACGGGUGAGUAACACGUAUGCAACCUGUCCGGUACAGGGGGAUAAGCGGCGGAAACGCCGUCUAAUACCGCGUGACAACCCGAGGGGGCAUCCCCUUGGGUUCAAAGGAGAGAUCCGGUACCGGCUGGGCAUGCGGCGCAUUAGCUAGUUGGCGGGGCAACGGCCCACCAAGGCGACGAUGCGUAGGGGUUCUGAGAGGAAGGUCCCCCACACUGGAACUGAGACACGGUCCAGACUCCUACGGGAGGCAGCAGUGAGGAAUAUUGGUCAAUGGGCGCAAGCCUGAACCAGCCAAGUCGCGUGAGGGAAGACGGCCCUACGGGUUGUAAACCUCUUUUGCCGGGGAGCAAGCCUGAGCACGUGUGCCCAGGCGGAGAGUACCCGGAGAAAAAGCAUCGGCUAACUCCGUGCCAGCAGCCGCGGUAAUACGGAGGAUGCGAGCGUUAUCCGGAUUUAUUGGGUUUAAAGGGUGCGCAGGCGGGCUGUUAAGCCGGCGGUAAAAAUUCAGGGCUCAACCCUGUCGAGCCGUCGGAACUGGCAGUCUUGAGUGGGCGAGAAGUAUGCGGAAUGCGUGGUGUAGCGGUGAAAUGCAUAGAUACCACGCAGAACGCCGAUUGCGAAGGCAGCAUACCGGCGCCCGACUGACGCUGAGGCACGAAAGCGUGGGGAU
rnacentral:rRNA from 1 species